GACGAACGCUGGCGGCGUGCUUAACACAUGCAAGUCGAGCGGUAAGGCCCUUUCGGGGGUACGACGAGCGGCGAACGGGUGAGUAACACGUGGGUGACCUGCCCUCAGCUCUGGGAUAAGCCUGGGAAACCGGGUCUAAUACUGGAUAUGACUCCAUGACGCAUGUUGUGGGGUGGAAAGCCUUGUGCGGCUGAGGAUGGGCCCGCGGCCUAUCAGCUUGUUGGUGGGGUGANGGCCUACCAAGGCGACGACGGGUAGCCGGCCUGAGAGGGCGACCGGCCACACUGGGACUGAGACACGGCCCAGACUCCUACGGGAGGCAGCAGUGAGGAAUAUUGGUCAAUGGCCGAAAGGCUGAACCAGCAACGCCGCGUGAGGGAUGACGGCCUGUGU
rnacentral:rRNA from 1 species